UGAACAGACGUGAGGUGGUCAACGCAGGCGAGUGAAAAGCACAAGAGGGUUGAGGCACAGCAGGUAAAGCACGCACACGCAGCAGUGGCGCCGCAUACGCGCCUGCACAGGUCCUCACGCACACACUCCCGAUUCUUCACGGGACUCUAUCUGGCGCGUGCCUGUGUCUCCGCUCCACCUUUUUUUUUUUUCGUUGCCGCCCAUCACUCGUAUCGCCGCUACCACAUCGACAAGAGGAGGAGGAAGGUGGAGGCGCAGCCCUUUUCUCUGCCGCACACGCACCCCCCCCCCCCCCCUGCCCCACCGGCUCUCUCCACACCCACGCCCCGAGCUGGCCGUACGCAUUGUGAGACAGACACGCAUACGCGCAUAGACGUAAAAGGAAGUGAUCUACACUUGUGCAUAGACGACGAAGGGCUUUCACCGCUUCCCCCCCCCCCCCCCUACCGCCUCACCAUCGCCAUCCGGCUAUCCCGCUCGUGCGUGCGUGACGCAGUCGUCUCGACGUUUUUCCUUUCUCCACACAGCAGCCGCCACCCUCUUGCUUCGGUUUCCAUUCCCGUUUUGCGUGCGCACGCACGCCGACGAGCACGUUAACCGGUUUCGCGUCCACGGCACGCACGACAGCAACAACAAAAUACACAGUCACAGCGGCACGUCACGGCAACUGCCAUCAUCGCCACGACGAAGUCCGGCACAUCGGCGUGGGUGAAUGGUGGCGUGCAGUGCGUGAGGGAGAAGCGGUGCUACAACUCCAUAGAAGAAGUUCCGAGAGGACGUCGGAGGAACGCAACGUGCGCGGCCGCCGUGGCUGUAGCAAGCGUAGCCCCGCCGACAACCGCGACGUCGACGUGCUUGUGUGUGUGUGCGCGAUAAAGCUGGGGGGCGAGGGGCACGUACGCGGCUGAAGCACUGGUACGGCGGCUGUCCAGCACCUGCGUGCAUGCGUUGCCGAGUCUGAGCCCGUCGGUCUCUCUCUCUUCCUCCCCGCCGUCGCCACCGCGGGUGCUUGUAGGCGCCCGUGCGUUCUGCGCAGCAGCUGAGCGGACGCAUCGGCGUAAAAUACACGAGAAGCUCGAGGCCUUCCACACACCGCGAGAAAGCCGCACACAUACACGCAUACACACAUGUAGGUGUGCGCAUGCGCACCCACUCCCGCACGCAUCAGAAACGAAGACAGGGCGCCGAAUAGAAGGGGGAGCUUGUGCGGGUGCCGGUGCUGCUUCCGCCACGGUGCCCCCUUCACACCUACACUUACACAAACACACACAGGCACCGAAACCCCAUACACUAUCCAGAGGUCCAGCCAUCACCGUUCAAGCCCUCCCUCCCAACAACGAAAUUUUUAGCCUAGAAAGCGAAAAAAAGCGAAUGCGGAUUUUCCUCAGCUCGGCUGUGCCGCGCACAGGGUGGAGUCUCCGUCGCCGCCGUGCUGACCCACUCUGCGUAGUGGCCGCCGCUCUCGUUGCGGCAUCUCUGUCGUGCGCCGACGGCCAGCGUCUCAUUCAUGGGCCGCCGCGGUUGUCUUCGACGUGGCGGCGCGGUGCUAGGCGUCUGCCAGGGCCCUCUGCGUUCCUGCCUGCCUCAUCGGCGGUAGCGGCGUCGCUAACAGCGCAGUGCCGCGGCGUUUCGAGCACGACGAGCACAUCAGCUGAUGCAACUGCUGCCGCUGCUUCUGCUGCUGCUGCCGUCGCCGCCUUGUCAACGGGGACGAAGUUGCGCCAUCGCCGCGGCGCUCAUCGCAAGCGCGGCCGUGUCUCGGCGACGGCAGCGGCGGCGACCACGCCGCCCCUCAAUGCGCCGCUCGGGGAUGGCGCGAACGGCAGCUUCUCCGUUGUCGAUCCUGUUGUGCCGGCGUCUGUGCUGGUCAACCCAUCAAACACAUCCAGCGAACCGCUCAGGCGACGAGCGGUCAAGAGCAGUGACGCAGCGGUGACAGAUGCGCGCCUGCGUGCAUUGGGCGAUACCGAAGCCGAGGCGGAGCCACCGGCGGUCACCGCUGCCGCUCACCUCAACGGCUUUGGCAAAUCCGCUAAUAAGCCUUCGACGACCCCUCAGCCAGCUGGCGAGGCGGAUGCUGCUGAGUCGGUGCCCGCACCAUCCGUGACGGCUGUCGUUGCCGCUGAGAUGCCCUCGCCUUGCCGCAAAAGGAAAAGCGGCACGGCAAAGAGGGGUACCAGGGGCCGCCGCGCGGCGGUGGAGACGACUGUGGAGCUGGUCGCUGUUGCUGCAGCUCCUGCUGCCGCUUCUAGCCCUGCUGCUGCGACGCUGUUAGCAAAGGCGCCAGCCGAGGCAAUCAAAAUGGCCGCUGCGGUCUCACGCGAAAGGCUAUCGCGAGGCCUAAAUAAAAGGCGCUCGAGGCGCAGCGGAGCUGGUACCGUCACGGCUGCCUCUGCUGGCGACGCCGAGGCGGACGAGGUCGUGACUGCCGGCGUCACAGUGGUGCCAUCUGUCGCUGUCAACCCUAACCUCGCAUCUUCAUUGACGGCAGGCGCCGUUGAAGGGGAAGGUGGCACACCCUCAGUCGACCCGGUGAGAGCCGCAGCCCUGCCGCCGGCCCCACAGCACCUGGAUGCCACUGGUCGUGUGGUCGCGUCCGAUGCCGACGCUGUUGAGGGGCGCGUGAGCAGCGGCAGCAGGAAACGUAUAGCGCGGCAAGCGAGGCAGAAAUACGUCGAGGAGCCGGCGAACGCGAGGAGCUCGGGAGUCGUUCUGGACAAUGACAAGGACGGUAGUGCUGCUGAUGUGGACAAGGAUCCAGAUGAAAUCAGCGAGGAUGGUGGUGCCCGACCCAGUGGUCGGCCCAGGCGAGCCAGCUCACGCACCCGAAGUGGCAAGCGGCUGCGCGCCAAGGCACCGACAGCUGCCGCCAGCACUCUGGUAGAAGACGCCAUCGCGGCUUCUGUGGCCAAGGCGGUCGCUGAGGGCGUUAUAGGCGCUGCAGGGCAAGCACCAGCGACUGGCGCGGCGACGGCAGGAGGGGCCACGUUGGCGUCCUUCUCGCUUCUCACUGCGGCAACGUCCCACAAGCCCGCGAGCAAGACCACCACCACGACCACGACCAUCACGACUGCAGACACUAAGGUGCCAUGCUCUCCCACCGCCGAGGUGGAGUCGUUGGAGCCGAAGACGGAUGCCGACGGCGAAGGUCCAGUAGAGGCCAUCAGCUCCACUGCUGCCUCUCGCGCGCCCAGGAACAGGGAGCGGGCUGGAGGCAAACGGAUGAAGAAGAGACUUCUUGCACCUGCCGCCGUCGCCGCGGCCUCGGCAGCGGUAGUGGCGGCACCACCACCACCCAUGGCGGCUGCUGCGGACGAUGGGAAGACGGCAACGACACCGCGGCCGGCGGACUCGUUCAAGAGGCUCUUCGAUACCGUCGACGCCGCGAAGGGGAUCUCCUCUCUUGCCUUGAAAAAGCGUCUCGCCGCGCAGAUCGUUCGUCGCCGCUGGCAGCUGCAGCGGGGGCUCACGCUGUCCCCGCAAGCCCUCCUUUCCACCGCCACACCGGCAGCAGACGAAGCAGGCGUUAUGGCAACCUCAGCAGCAGCCAAGGCCGACGAGGGGGCAGCGGCGGUGACGGCGCCUAAGUCGUCUGCACCUUCGCCGACAUCGCCGCGCCGACGUCUGCUGCAAGGAAAGAAGUCGGCUUCGCUUGAAGCGUCUGCGUCGUCACCGAUAGCGGCUGCGCCUCUACCGGAAAAGCCGGCGCAGAGCGACGAGGCAGCCGUCGCAGGUGGUGCCAAGUCGAAGAGCCGUAUCACCAAGAAGGGUGGCAAGCGUGGCGGAUCGGCGGCAAGGAAAAAUAGCGGGCACACGGUUGCCAUGGCUGCAGCAGCGUCCGUUGCACCCGUGGCGGAGCCGACCAAGGCUGCUGAGGUCGAGGAUCCUGCCAGUGACGCAGAUCGAGAGGCGGAUGUGGCGGCGGCAAUGGCAGCAGCGGUGGAGCUGGUGUCAAAGCCGGAGGUCAUCGAUGACGAGUUCUCGCUAGCACCGCAGGCGUGCGACGAUGCCGCUGCCCAUGCGACGCCGAAGUCGCACUCUCCAUCUGCCCUCGCCGCCGGCCGCGCAUCGCAGCAGCAGGAGCUGCUUCAGAGUGCCGGCGUCUCGAAGGUAGCUUACGGCGCCAGUGGCGGCAGCAGCGCUAACGGAUCGGGCAAUCAUGCCGGCAGUAGCGGCAGCAGCAACGGUGGCAAGGGCGGCAAAGGUGCGAAUUCGAAGGACACGCUCUUCUUCCCCGACUACCGCGAGCGCGUCGUGCAGAUAUUUGAGCAGCUGACGCAGAUCAACAGUGCCCUCGGCGAGCGCUUCAAGUCGCAGUUGUACGGGCGCACGGUAGAACGCUUCAAGCGCGGCGACAAGGUAUUUCAGCUGCUGCCGCCGAACCUGCUGCCGCUGCCCGAGGAAGACCCGAAGAAAAAGGCGAUAAUCGAGGCGCUCUACAAGGACGACCCCGCGGCGCAGAAGAAGCGCGUGGAGGAGGUGGAGCGCAACCGGGCGAAGCGCAGUCUUGUGCUCUCCUCCGACAACCUCAUCCCAGGCCUGGGGACGAAGCUGCGGGAGAAAGUAAUCGAAAUCCUGGUGACGGGUGGCUUGGAGGAGCUGCACCGGCAGGAGGCGAAGCCAAUCAUUCGCGCCAUCCGAGAGCUCACACAGGUGCACGGCGUCGGCCCGCGCACCGCUAUCGACUACUUCAAGAAGUACGGCAUCAGCACCGUCGCGCAGCUUCGCGACUACGCCAUCAAGGCAGGGGAGCUCGACAUGAGCAACAAGGACAGCGGCAAGCCGUCGAAUCUCGUGGUCUGUGCUGACAAGUCCAAGUUCCACUUGAACGACGCGCAGCGGCUCGGGCUUGUCUACUACGAGGACAUGUGCCACCGCAUCCCGCACGAAGAGGGCCGCCUGCACGAGGCUUUCAUGAAGCUGCGCAUGCGAAAGUACCUUGGCAAGGACUACGAGCUCGUUGUGUGUGGUAGCUACCGUCGUCAAGUUGAGUCCGCUGGUGACAUCGAUGUGCUCAUUACACACAAGCGCAGCGCGACGGAGGGCGGUGGCCGUCCUUUGUUACCACCGUCGGAGGUGCUUGGCUCGUUCCUCGCUGGGCUCAAGGCGGACAAGUACAUCGAGGCUACGCUGGCGCAGGGGCCGACGAAGUUCAUGGGGCUGUGCCGUCUGCGCGCGAUGGGCACCGAAUCUGUAUCGGCUGCUACGGGCAAGGGCAAGACAGCGAAGACGAACGGCAAGGCGCCAACCAAGUUCCGCGCGCGCCGCCUCGAUGUCCGCUAUGUGGACUCGGACAGCUUCCCUGCAGCGAUGCUUUACUUCACCGGCAGCAAGAACUUCAACGUCAUUAUGCGCAGCGAAGCCAUCAAGAAGCACUGCGUCCUCAACGAGUACGGCCUCUUCCGCAAGCCGACGCGCAAGCAGAUGCAGCACUACGGUGUUGUGCAGAAGAACCCGGAUAUGAGCUUCCACGACAUGAUCACCCGCCUCGCUCGCUUCGACCUCUCCGCCAUCAAGGACGAGGAGAAUGAGCUCGCCAGCGGAUCGUCGGCCGAAGCUGGAGGCGGGGCUAGCGGUGCGACUGCUGCCGGGAGCGGUGCCAGCGGCGACGCAGACGGUGCGGCAUCAAAGAAGGUGACGGCUGCGUUCAAGAAGAUCAAGAAGAAGGGGAAGGAGAAGACGAAGCAGGAGCUCGCCGAGCUGCGUGAGAUGGCGAAGAUUGUGGAGCGGCAGCGGGUUAAGGCGAGCACGGAGCGCGAGAUCUUCGAGGCGCUGGGCAUGGACUACGUCCCUCCAAAAGACCGCAGCGUUUAAGGAGGAUGCGAGUGCCUGCACGUGUGUGUCUCGGCAGUUCUUCUGCUACGAGAGAAGUUGUUUCACGGCUCUUCGACUUCUCCUUGUCGCAUGUCGGCUCGCAUGCGCAUGCAUGCGCGCUCGUGUGUCUGAGAGUGUGUGUGUUUGUGUUUCCGUGUGUGUGUGUGUGCGUGUGUGUAUGGGAGGGGGGCGUACCGCGUAGAUGAGCUCAUAGAUACGGACGGCGUGCGAGAGGGCUCGCGACGAGGCGGCUGAGCUGCAAAGUGCCGCGCGCUCGUGCGCGCAUGUGUGAAUGUGACUGGUGAUGAGCGCGUCGGGUUGCCGACGCCGUUGCGCAUUUUUCGCGUGCGUGCGUCUCACUGAUAACAUUUGCGUGAGCUUGUGCUCUCUGUUUGAAUGAACAACACCGAGGCGAAGGAGGCUGGGUGAGGGGGGGGGUGGUGGUGGUGGUGGUGGCAGAGGCCAGAGGUGAAGGAACAAGGAGAGCAACAGAGCCAGCGGACUGCGCGCACGGAGCAAGAGGAGUGCGCCCCGACAUCAAAGCAUUACCUGCGUGUGCGUGCACUUGUGUGUAGGUGUUUGCCCCCUCCCCCCUCGCUCUCUCGCCUUUCAGGGGUGGGUGGUGGUGGUGGUGGUGGGGAGGACACCUCCACGCGAUGGCUUACCGCUGGCAGAGGCGUCACCAAAGAGGGAGGGCGAGGGCAGAUCGGAGUAGUCCGCUCACUAUCUGUUCGCGUCCUCACGACCACCGCUCUCUGCCGCCUCUGUUCUUCUCUCCCUCCCCUAUUAUAUCUCGCGCAGACCCUCUCUCUGACCGCACCAUUGCUGCCACUUCGACUGUUGCCGAACACCGAUGCUGAGCUCCCCCCGUAUGACCACCGUGACCUCGUGCAACUGCCUUCGCGCUCUGUCCAGAUGUGCGUUGAAAACGGCCACAAUCUUCCUCUUCCUCUUCCUCUUCGACGCCCUACUCACUCGUUCUCUGCCUCUGCCCACGUUGCCGGCGCCGCACGAGCACAG
rnacentral:misc_RNA from 1 species